rnacentral:rRNA from 1 species
UACGGGAGGCAGCAGUAGGGAAUCUUCCACAAUGGACGGAAGUCUGAUGGAGCAACGCCGCGUGAGUGAAGAAGGUUUUCGGAUCGUAAAACUCUGUUGUGAGGGAAGAACAAGUACGAGAGUAACUGCUCGUACCUUGACGGUACCUCAUUAGAAAGCCACGGCUAACUACGUGCCAGCAGCCGCGGUAAUACGUAGGUGGCAAGCGUUGUCCGGAAUUAUUGGGCGUAAAGCGCGCGCAGGCGGUCCUUUAAGUCUGAUGUGAAAGCCCACGGCUCAACCGUGGAAGGUCAUUGGAAACUGGGGGACUUGAGUGCAGAAGAGGAAAGUGGAAUUCCAAGUGUAGCGGUGAAAUGCGUAGAGAUUUGGAGGAACACCAGUGGCGAAGGCGACUUUCUGGCCUGUAACUGACGCUGAGGCGCGAAAGCGUGGGGAGCAAACAGGAUUAGAUACCCUGGUAG